UAGGGAAUCUUCGGCAAUGGGCGAAAGUCUGACCGAGCAACGCCGCGUGAGUGAAGAAGGUUUUCGGAUCGUAAAACUCUGUUGGUAGAGAAGAACGUUGGUGAGAGUGGAAAGCUCAUCAAGUGACGGUAACUACCCAGAAAGGGACGGCUAACUACGUGCCAG
rnacentral:rRNA from 1 species